UGGCUCAGUUGGUAAGAGUGUGGUGCUAGAAACACCAAGGUUGUGGGUUGAAUUCCCAC
rnacentral:tRNA from 1 species